rnacentral:misc_RNA from 1 species
GAUGAAGAACGCAGCGAAAUAUGAUAAUUAAUGUGAAUUGCAGAAUUCCGUGAAUCAUCGAGUCUUUGAACGCACAUUGCGCCUCAUGGCAUUCCGUGAGGCAUGCCCAUCUCAGCGUUAGAAAAUAUUCUCAAAUUUUAGUUUUGUGCUAAAAUUUGGAUCAUGUCAAAGAAGCUAUUACUAUUAUUGUGAUCGCUCUUUGGAAAUUGAUAGGUCUUUGAGUUGCUACUCAUAGAACGUGAUGAAUCUUUCUUCGUUCUAUUGUAAUUCACUCUGGUAGUCCUAAAACUUGUAUGCCUGUGGCAUAUCUUGUAAUUUGACCUGAGAUUGGGCAGGGAUACCCGCUGAACUUAAGCAUAUCAAUAAGCGGAGGA